GGGCCACACCUGCAGCAUAUGGAAGUUCCCAGGCUAGAGGUCAAAGUGGAGCUGUAGCUGCCCGCCUAUGCCACAGCCACAGCAAAUCCAAGCCUCAUCUGUGACCUAAACUGUUGCUCAUGGCAGUGCCAGAUCCUUAACCCACUGAGCGGGACCAGGGAUUGAACCCACAUCCUCAUGGAUACUAGUUGUGUUCGUUACCACUAGGCCACAAGGGAAACUCCCCCCCCCCUUUUUAAUGGCCACAUCCGUGGCAUAUGGAAGCUCCCAGGCCAGGGAUUGAAUCUAAGCUGCAGCUGCAGCAACACUGGAUCCUUUAACCCACUGCACUGGGCCAGGGAUCAAAACAUGCCUCUGCAGCAACCUGAACUGUUGCAUUCAGAUUCUUAACCCACUGCACCAUGGUGGGAACGCCAAGUCUUUUUUAGCAAUGGUUGAUCUGCAGUUAGUUGUGAUUUUGGUCCAUGUCCAAGCUCCUUCUGGGUCCCCGUUUGUGUUCACCUUCUGGACCGGGUUUGGGCAUUUCUGAAUCAGCAUCCUGAAGAGGUUCUCUAAUUAGACAUGCGAGGGGCUGGAGGGAGGGAUGAGGACGAGAGGACAGGUAAGAGGGAGAUAGAGACGGCACUGAUGCUGAUGGCAUAACUGCUUGGAUCAGUCAGCUUACGUAAUAGUGAAAAUGGCAAUAAUAAUAAUGUUCCAGCGUUGAGCAUUUACUAAGUCUCUGGCUCCAUUCUAGCUACUUUACAUAUGUUAUCUCACUUCGUCCUUCUAGAAACCUUGUGGAUGUUUUUAUUAUUACGCCUACUUAUGGGAAUCAAGACACUGAGUACCUUGCUCAAACAGACCCAAAUUGAGGGCGUAGGAGCAGAAUAUAAAUGUUUAUUACCUCAUUUUUUUUUUUUUUUUGGUCUUUUUGCCUGGGAACCUCCAUAUGUGUGGCCCUCAAAAGACAAAAAAAAUAAAAAUAAAAUAAAAGACACUGUUUUCUGUAUUUUUCCUAGGUGAACCACAAAACUCUUGAUAAGAAAACGGGUUUUCCCGGUUAUGCAUAUAAAUCAAGAUGAGGGAGUAGCUAUGGUCUUCAAAAACUUAGAGGAAAAUGGGCAAAACCACACAAAUCAGUUGUCAGAGUCUGCGGCUUCAGGUUCUGUCUCAACCAUGGUUUUCAUGGUCCAUCUGCUGAAAAACUGAGCCUGGUCGGGGUGCAGAUGAAACAGGGGUGCAAGCAGCAGCCACGCCUGUGGGGCGACAGUGGCCAUUUAACAGUAAGGGUAACUCCCUUACAUUCUCUUGAUGAAAAAGUCAACUCCGCAGGUGAGCACAGUUUCUGUCACAUUCUGGUAAUUUCCAUAACCCGCCAUCACAGAUUUUUAACAGCGUACUUCAGACACAGUGUACUUAGGUCAGAAGCUUCACUGUACUUUAUAAAUGUGUUUUCUUCCCCUUUCACUCCCUACUUCCUUAACAUUUCUUCAAAGAACCGAUAAAUCCUGACCAUUAGAUCGGUGAUAGUAAACAUCAUGCCCCGAAUGCCUUCAGUGCGACCCUCACGCCAUAGGCAGGAACCAGUCACAGAGCAGCACUUUCAAGACCAUCUUCUUAGAGAACACAGCAGUCUCCAAAGUCUGCAAGUUCAGAUUGUGGCCGUUCAGCUGGUAAGUGGGCAGUGGUGGCAGAUUUGGUGUGUGACCUUUGGCAAAUUUACUUUCAGUGACUAAGAGGCCUGCAUGCACCUUAUAGCUUUGCCUCCUAAUAAACCAAUAAAAGAUGUCUUUUAAACUUUUCUCAGAUAUUUUCAAUGAUUUUUGAAUUACUUUAGGAACUCUGACACAUUGUGUAGAGUUUGCUCUGUGUGUCUCUCAUGAAGUCCAGAUCAGGUUUUGCAUUAAGAGUUAUGUUCCCAAAGCUAUGGGAUGUAACCUCUUU
rnacentral:lncRNA from 1 species